rnacentral:lncRNA from 1 species
CAACGAGCCUGACUUCAACACACCUCAGCAGGGGACAGAGACUCUGCUCAGGCCCUCUGUCAUCCUGGAGGUACGGUGAAACCGCAAGGACAAACGGCUGCUGACCCAGAACUGUGAAGCCUGCAGCCAGCACCUGUGCUACUUGAGUGGCCUCCCCCUCAAGGCCAUCACUCUCAAGCAGUGCCACAGCCGGGCCCACCUCUGCACCAGCCUCUAGGGUGUGCUAGGAGACAUUGUGGGUGUCAUGGCAGCUCUGGGCUACCCACUGCCCAGCCUCUGCCUGGGACUGAGCCCACCUGGGCCCCCGGCUCUGACCACAGUGACUUCUUCCAGAAGAUGGACAGCUUCUGGCUGCUGAAGGGGCUGAAGACCUGCCUGUGACACUCGGCCAAGGACUUCAACUGGGUCAUAAAGAAGAUGCAGCCUCUGGCCACUGUAGUCACCCUGCCCCUGGAGGUCCAUGACUUGUAACUUCUGACCUUCCUUUACCACCUUCUCUUUCCCCUCCUCCUUCAAACCCUGCUCCCACGCUGGGAACAAGAAACCUAUACACCAACGCUCAUUGAGCCAGGAGGCCGAAGCCAUGAGCCUUUAGCCCUCCAUGGACUUGGAAGAGGAUGUGAUUCAAUAAGACCCAUCCACUCCCAGCCUUCCUGACUCCUCCAGGCCUGGGGAACAGGUGCAGUAGGCCCCAUCCCAUUUCUACCUAAUGUGAUGCCCAAAGGAGCCCAAAAUGAUUGGUGCAAGGCUCUCAUAGCUUCAUGCUUCCUGCCCACUACUUGCCAGCAUCCACCCAACUCCUCAAGUGGCGCCCAGGAAGUGUGCCUGUAGGGUUGUGAGUGGGCCACCGUCUUGUGUACCUUUCUGGCAUGAAGCCCUUUGGCUGCCAUCCUCUCCUUAGAUGGGUGUUGCUCCGCUUACCCCCAAAUAACUCAGUACAUCCAAUUCAGGGAACAGUUUGAAACAGGAAGAGAAGGGAUUAAAGGGAAGAGGUGGGGUCUGCAUUGGAGGUAAUACUGAAAGCAGAGUGGGA